UCCAGACUCCUACGGGAGGCAGCAGUGGGGAAUAUUGCACAAUGGGGGAAACCCUGAUGCAGCGACGCCGCGUGAAGGAAGAAGUAUUUCGGUAUGUAAACUUCUAUCAGCAGGGAAGAAAAUGACGGUACCUGACUAAGAAGCCCCGGCUAACUACGUGCCAGCAGCCGCGGUAAUACGUAGGGGGCAAGCGUUAUCCGGAUUUACUGGGUGUAAAGGGAGCGUAGGCGGUAAUGCAAGUCAGAAGUGAAAGCCCGGGGCUCAACUCCGGGACUGCUUUUGAAACUGUGUUGCUAGAUUGCAGGAGAGGUAAGUGGAAUUCCUAGUGUAGCGGUGAAAUGCGUAGAUAUUAGGAGGAACACCAGUGGCGAAGGCGGCGUACUGGACUGUAAAUGACGCUGAGGCUCGAAAGCGUGGGGAGCAAACAGGAUUAGAUACCCCCGUACAA
rnacentral:rRNA from 1 species